GCGGGAGAAGAGCUUUGCAAAGUUUUGUCAGCAACUAUUACAUUUUAUGGCAUUUAUUUGAGACGUGCCCUGAUGGAAAUCCCAGCUCCACAGCCGAAAAUUGCAGCUCGACUGAGAAGGUCCUACCUGGAGGUUCUAAGUUCACGCAUAACUCCAUUCUCAACCACCUCUAGAGGCAGAAACCUGACCAGCAACUCAAAACGUGGGCAUUCAUUGGACCCAGCCAUAUACAGAACAGGGAGUAGUCGGAGUGAGGCCCAAAGUGAGAGAAUGGAAGACAACCAGACACCCCUGUCCAACCAGCAGCUUGUGCAGCUCAUAAGAUCUUUCAUCCUAGUAGAACAGGGGCAGAGGCAGGAGCCCAGAGCUCUCACUACGGACCUGAAACCGAUACAGGAGGACUUGCACCUGAAGAAGACCAAUGUCUAUAGAUCUAUACCCUACUCACGCCUGGGGUCCAACAGAGACGCACACUGUUACAGAAAGGCAUAUCCACACCUGGUGGUGUUUAAAGUUUCCUGCCAGGAGUGGGGUCAGCUGCUGCUGCAGAACGAGGAGUGGGAGUCUACUC
rnacentral:lncRNA from 1 species